rnacentral:rRNA from 1 species
AGCGAACGCUGGCGGCAGGCUUAACACAUGCAAGUCGAGCGGGCACUUUCGGGUGUCAGCGGCGGACGGGUGAGUAACGCGUGGGAACGUGCCCUCUGGUUCAGAAUAACUCAGGGAAACUUGAGCUAAUACCGGAUACGCCCUUUUGGGGAAAGGCUUGCUGCCGGAGGAUCGGCCCGCGUCUGAUUAGCUAGUUGGUGAGGUAACGGCUCACCAAGGCGACGAUCAGUAGCUGGUCUGAGAGGAUGAUCAGCCACACUGGGACUGAGACACGGCCCAGACUCCUACGGGAGGCAGCAGUGGGGAAUAUUGGACAAUGGGCGCAAGCCUGAUCCAGCCAUGCCGCGUGAGUGAUGAAGGUCUUAGGGUUGUAAAGCUCUUUUAUCCGGGACGAUAAUGACGGUACCGGAGGAAUAAGCCCCGGCUAACUUCGUG